CCCUUCCAGCCGCUGAGGCAGAGGGGCACCUGCGGGCGGUUGGCGGCUGUCCGCGGCAGCGGGACCGGGGGGCCUGCUUGUGGGGGACGCCCGUUAUUCGCCGCUCUGCUCAGGCAGCGCCCCGGCCGCCCGCACCGCCGCCGGGGGGCGGCCCCUCGCGCUGCCGGGCCUCGCCGCCAUCUUGGCCGCUGCCCGGGAGCGGGACGGGCCGCACCGGGCCGGGGGAGAAAAUGAUCCACAGCCUGUUUCUUAUAAACUGUUCUGGUGAUAUAUUCUUGGAGAAGCACUGGAAGAGCGUUGUGAGCCAAUCUGUGUGUGAUUAUUUCUUUGAAGCUCAGGAGAAAGCAAUCGAUGUUGAGAAUGUGCCUCCUGUCAUUUCAACGCCACAUCACUACCUCAUCAGCAUCUAUAGGGAUAAAAUCUUCUUUGUGUCUGUCAUACAGACAGAAGUGCCACCACUCUUUGUAAUUGAAUUUCUGCACCGAGUAGCAGAUACUUUCCAGGAUUACUUCGGCGAAUGUUCUGAGACUGCAAUUAAAGACAAUGUAGUUAUUGUGUAUGAACUUCUAGAAGAAAUGUUAGACAAUGGCUUUCCACUGGCGACAGAAUCUAACAUACUGAAGGAGCUGAUUAAGCCUCCCACAAUUUUGCGCUCCGUUGUCAACUCCAUCACAGGCAGUAGUAAUGUAGGUGACACGCUUCCCACCGGGCAGUUGUCCAAUAUUCCUUGGCGCAGAGCAGGAGUAAAAUACACAAACAAUGAAGCCUAUUUUGAUGUUGUUGAAGAAAUUGAUGCAAUUAUAGACAAAUCAGGUUCUACAGUCUUUGCAGAAAUCCAAGGUGUUAUUGAUUCAUGUAUUAAGCUCUCAGGAAUGCCAGAUCUUUCUCUUUCUUUCAUGAACCCACGGCUGCUGGAUGAUGUCAGCUUCCACCCAUGCAUUCGGUUCAAACGCUGGGAGUCGGAGAGAGUCCUUUCAUUUAUUCCUCCCGAUGGGAAUUUCAGAUUGAUCUCCUACCGUGUCAGUUCACAGAACUUGGUGGCAAUUCCUGUGUAUGUGAAACACGUCAUCAGUUUUAAGGAAAACAGUUCUUCAGGAAGAUUUGAUGUUACCAUUGGACCAAAACAGAAUAUGGGGAAAACAGUAGAAAGUGUUGUCAUGACAGUUCACAUGCCAAAGGCCGUACUUAAUAUGAACCUUACUGCUACACAAGGCAACUAUACGUUUGACCCAGUUACUAAGGUGUUAACGUGGGAUGUUGGCAAAAUUACCCCUCAGAAGCUACCAAACCUGAAGGGCCUGGUGAACCUGCAGUCUGGAGCCCCCAAGCCAGAGGAGAAUCCCAGUUUAAACAUCCAGUUUAAGAUACAACAGCUUGCGAUUUCAGUUUAAAUCUAGCAAAACAUAGUGGAUUGGUGGCUGGAUGCCAGAGAUACGGACCUGUGAGAACACAGGGGACAACCUGAAACCAUUAGGACUGAAAGUGAAUCGCCUAGACAUGUAUGGAGAGAAAUACAAGCCUUUUAAAGGUGUCAAAUAUAUUACAAAAGCAGGAAAAUUCCAAGUGAGGACAUGAAAAGCUGCUCAACUUCCAAGAGGAAAUUCCCCUUAAAAAAAGAAAAAUUCACUGCUUAGUGACUUACUUUGCUAUUAAUUAGGUGCCAGUUAAUUAAUAGACACUGAUUAGUUUGGGAUCAAAGCAUUUGUGCACAGCAGCUCUUAAAAUGAAAGCAUAGCUUAGUUUUUCUUAAUAUGGCUUUAAAUUAAGGUACUUUUUUUCUAAUACACCUUUACUCUUUUUUUACUGAAUUGUUGUUCUGGUGAAUAGUUUGGUGUAGGUGAUCCACAGAAUGCCACAGACACUACACUGCCAGUCAGAUACCAAAGCCCAGAGGUCAAGCACAUUCUGAAGGCCAGACAGGUCACUGGAGAAGUCUUGUGGUGGCACGUUUUGCUGCUGCAGCCACCUGCAGAGAGAGCUCAGCUAUUCUCACAGCCAGCUGCUAGCUGGCAACCCACAAAGCAUCAUGUAACCCCUUCAGAAACAGAGCAGCAGGAAGAGGGGCAAGGGUCCCUGGCAGGGGCCUGGGAUGUAGCAAGUGUCACUCCUGAGAAAGAGCUUCUGAUGAAGAGAAAAAUAACUUCCUUGUUUACAAGAAAUCGCCUUUCUUAAGAAGCAUUUGCCUUAAUCAGCCUUCAUUUGUGCCAUCUGCAGAUGAGCUGAUAAAAAUAACAUCCUGCAUUAAAUCUGGGAGGUGAUUGUUGCUUCAGUAAUCCACUUUCUCGCCAUUCAAUCUCAUCACCACCAUCAUUUUUUUUAAGAAUACAAUUGCAGAGAGUAAGAUCUAUUUUUUAUGUGACGCCUUUGCUUUGAUGUAGAUGCUCCACUUGUUCCAAGUGGAUACCACCAGAUUUGUGCCAUGUGUGCAUUGGAGCGUAGCUUUUUAGGUAGCACAAUAGAAGUGUCAAGUGUAUUUAAUGGUUGUGUGCUUUAAUGUUAAUGAAAUAAAGGGAACUCUACUGCAAAUA